CAAAAAGCAGUGGUCUGUUUACUAUAUGAGCAGUCCUCUCGUAACUAUCAGGGAUAUAAAACUCAUUGUUUUUGGGUGAACCUAUGUUCUUUUUUUGUGACUGUAGGUUCAGUAAAUGAUUGAACAGUU